GAUGAACGCUGGCGGCGUGCCUAAUACAUGCAAGUCGAGCGAACGGACGAGAAGCUUGCUUCUCUGAUGUUAGCGGCGGACGGGUGAGUAACACGUGGAUAACCUACCUAUAAGACUGGGAUAACUUCGGGAAACCGGAGCUAAUACCGGAUAAUAUUUUGAACCGCAUGGUUCAAAAGUGAAAGACGGUCUUGCUGUCACUUAUAGAUGGAUCCGCGCUGCAUUAGCUAGUUGGUAAGGUAACGGCUUACCAAGGCAACGAUGCAUAGCCGACCUGAGAGGGUGUACGCCCCCGGUGAGACUGGACCGCGAUACGGGCACCGAGGGGCGGCAGAGACGGGGACUCUACGGAGAUGGGGGGAAGACUGAAGAAGCGGCGCCGGGUGGGUGAAGAGGCGCUGCGUGUGGUAUAACUGUUUUAUGGGGGAAAACUAUUUUCGAAAGUGACGAAGCAUUUUUUGACGGUACCUAGAGAAAAAGCCCCGGCUAACUACGUG
rnacentral:rRNA from 1 species